AAUUGAAAAUAGUUUGCUACUUACGAGUCCGAUACAACGGACAGACAGGGACGGUGUAAUGUGUCAUGAGACGAUAGUAAACACUUGACAGUCUUAUACGUUGCGCGUCCCUGCCUGCCCGUUGUACCGAACUCGAUAAGAAGUCAUUGAAAGAGGAUUCCAUGGCGAUAUCUUUCUGGUUAUAUCCGGAACAUGGUUCGCAGAGCCAAAUUCGCGGCGACGCUCUUUGUUUCCCAAAUUACAAUGUGACGUGCUAAAAUCGGCGCUCUUCUAACACUCACGGUGGCGUGAUUGCAACUUAAAGCAUUACAUGCAUCCUACAUGUGAUAGCUAGUAAUAGACUGGCCAAAUGACUGCAGCCCGUGCACCUACGCAUACAACAUGCUUCAAAGAUAGAUUCCUUCGGCUGCACUAUGUUACGCAUUCUGCAUUUAAAACAUAGUACGCACACACUCGGGAUUUGGAGGAAAAGAGAAGAGGGAGAAUUGUAACAACGUACAGACAGCGGCAACUAAAGGGGAUAGAUUGAGAAGCAGCUGGAAUCGCUAGGCGCGGCGUUUUUGCAAUAUUCGGGUAAAUUUAUAUACUUGGCGCGAGACACGUUUCUUGAUUAACAUAAAUUUAUAUUAAGUAAGUUUUUAUUAUUUUUUAUGUUAACUUACAUUAACAUAAAUGAAUAAUUAAAUAAAACAGUGCUGUAUCAGUUAACGUUGAUUGAUACAUUUAAAAUCGCGUAUUAUGCUCAAUUCUCACUGAUUUUUCAUUUGCAAUAUCGUAUUAAUUAUUCGUGGAAUGCCACAAUAUCUCAUAGAUUGAUUAGUACACAAAUCACAUUCUGAAUACACUUAUCGACUUCAUGCAUCUCAUAUUGCCUUGCUCAAAUUACCGGGCCGUAGGUUUUAAUAUUGGUAAUAAGAGAUCGCAAAUUGGCUUUUUUUAAGGUAAAAAAAAUAGAAGAAAAAAAAAUUUCAAUAAAUUGAUUUCCUAGAAUAACUUCUAGGAAAUCAAUUUAUUGAAAUCUCCAGAACAGAAAUUUAAGAAAACUUAAGAGAAGGUUCCUGUCUUAGCGACUUAUUGAAGGCUACAGCCUUCGUAUGCGAAAUGACCUUUACAUUGAAUUAAUCACCUCAUUAAUAUCAAACAGAACACGGAAACUUCCGAUAGCUUGGAAAAUUUUGAAAAAGUGGAGCGGAUGAUGUUUUUCUUAUUUAGCGCGACCGUCGACCUUUGCCAUGAUUAAUCAACAAUCGCGACCUUAUGCAGCAAAAAUCUUGACUGAGUGAUCAUUCUUUCCAACAAGUGGGAGGCAGGAAAUUGGUAGGGUUGGGGAAACGAUAUAAUUCUCUCUUUAUGUUGAUAAUAAUAAACAAAAAAUUAACUGCGUCGCUGACUAAUGCGAGAUGUUCGAUCACGCCGACGACAUGCAGGUCAUCUGAGAAUAAGAUGAAAUUUUUUUUGUGAAUUUCGCAAGCCGAAGCCGUGAUUGGACUCGAAAGACAGAAGAAGUAAAUAUGUGACCCCUCCUCCUAAAAAUGUGACAAAUUUUGCUUCGACGUAGUUUCGCGAUGGAGAUUCUUCGUAUCUCGUUGUAUUUGUAUAUGUAACUUAAAUUUAAUUCUUCGACUCGCUAAGACGAGCGCCAACUCUAAUUUCUGGAGCUGAUUUAAAUUUACUCUCGUUAGAAGAGAGGGAUUUAGCUUCUUGUUACGGAACCACAUAAUAAAUUGUCAUUAGCGCGUGUAAACUUUGAAAAAUUUCGCUACGUGGACUUAGUCGCUGAGUAAUAAUGCAAGUCACGUGUAUUAUUUCUUCUGUUUUUUACACACAAAUUUUUAACUUAUUUAAAUUAUGUUUAUAUUGUUGAGAAUAUAUUGUUGAGAACAUUGUGAUUUUCGAUCAACACCUCAAUAAGUAAUUCUCGCAAUCACAUACGUGAUCACUUCAUAAAAGUUUUUAUUAAUAAUGACGAAUUAAAUUUACUGUCUUCUAAGAAACAGUUUGUAAGGGUAGCACUGAUGAUGGCUGAAAGAUCAGCCGAAACGUAUGCUGCUUAAUUAAAACAUUGGUUUCAAUAAAAAGUAUCAAGAAUUA